rnacentral:rRNA from 1 species
CCUACGGGAGGCAGCAGUGAGGAAUAUUGGUCAAUGGCCGAGAGGCUGAACCAGCCAAGUCGCGUGAGGGAAGAAUGUCCUAUGGAUUGUAAACCUCUUUUGUCAGGGAGCAAAGUCACCCACGUGUGGGUGUUGGAGAGUAUCUGAAGAAUAAGCAUCGGCUAACUCCGUGCCAGCAGCCGCGGUAAUACGGAGGAUGCGGGCGUUAUCCGGAUUUAUUGGGUUUAAAGGGUGCGUAGGCGGGUUAUCAAGUUAGAGGUAAAAUCUUGGGGCUCAACCCCAUCCAGCCGUUGAUACUGAUGAUCUUGAGUGUGCGAGAGGUAUGCGGAAUGCGUGGUGUAGCGGUGAAAUGCAGAGAGAUCACGCAGAACUCCGAUUGCGAAGGCAGCAUACCAGAGCACAACUGACGCUGAAGCACGAAAGCGUGGGUAUCGAACAGGAGUAGAUACCCGAGUAGUC